CAUUGAAUAGCCAAAAUUUCAGGUGAUGAACUUUUAAUUCAUUCAUAAUACUAAUGUAUUUUCAAU
rnacentral:tRNA from 1 species